GAGACCUCAGGUCAGGCGGGGCUACCCGCUGAGUUUAAGCAUAUCAAUAAGCGGAGGAAA
rnacentral:rRNA from 1 species